UACGGGGGGGGCAAGCGUUGUUCGGAAUUACUGGGCGUAAAGGGCUCGUAGGUGGCCAACUAAGUCAGACGUGAAAUCCCUCGGCUUAACCGGGGAACUGCGUCUGAUACUGGAUGGCUUGAGUUUGGGAGAGGGACGCGGAAUUCCAGGUGUAGCGGUGAAAUGCGUAGAUAUCUGGAGGAACACCGGUGGCGAAGGCGGCCUUCUGGUCGGAUACUGACGCUAAAACGCGAAAGCGUGGGGAGCAAACAGG
rnacentral:rRNA from 1 species